rnacentral:misc_RNA from 1 species
GAUGAGAACGUAGCGAAAUGCGAUAAGUAAUGUGAAUUGCAGAAUUCAGUGAAUCAUCGAAUCUUUGAACGCACAUUGCGCCCGCCAGUAUUCUGGCGGGCAUGCCUGUUCGAGCGUCAUUUCAACCAUCAAGCCCCAGGCUUGUGUUGGGGACCUGCGGCUGCCGCAGGCCCUGAAAACCAGUGGCGGGCUCGCUGUCACACCGGGCGUAGUAGAUUUUAUCUCGCUCAGGGCGUGCUGCGGGUUCCGGCCGUUAAAAAGCCUUUUUUACCCAAGGUUGACCUCGGAUCAGGUAGGAAUACCCGCUGAACUUAAGCAUAUCAAUAAGCGGAGGA